UACGAAGGGGGCUAGCGUUGUUCGGAUUUACUGGGCGUAAAGCGCACGUAGGCGGAUCGUUAAGUCGGGGGUGAAAUCCUGGAGCUCAACUCCAGAACUGCCUUCGAUACUGGCGAUCUUGAGUCCGGAAGAGGUGAGUGGAAUUCCUAGUGUAGAGGUGGAAUUCGUAGAUAUUAGGAAGAACACCAGUGGCGAAAGCGGCUUCCUGGUCCAGCACCGACGUUCAGGCACGAAAGCGUGGGGAGCAAACAGG
rnacentral:rRNA from 1 species